rnacentral:rRNA from 1 species
UACGGGGGGGGCAAGCGUUGUUCGGAAUUACUGGGCGUAAAGGGCGCGUAGGCGGGCUACCAAGUCUGUGGUGAAAUCCUCCGGCUCAACCGGAGAACUGCCGUGGAUACUGGGAGCCUCGAGGGAGAUAGGGGCGUGCGGAACUGAUGGUGGAGCGGUGAAAUGCGUUGAUAUCAUCAGGAACUCCGGUGGCGAAGGCGGCACGUUGGAUCUCAUCUGACGCUGAUGCGCGAAAGCCAGGGGAGCAAACGGG